rnacentral:SRP_RNA from 13 species
AGGAUAUUCGCAAGGCAGGCCUCGGAUUGAGCAGCGAUUACGUUUCGCUCGCAAAGGAAGGAAAACUAACGGUCA